GUAGCUUUCAAAAUGUUUGUAUCUGAAUUCCAGAAAAUUGUUUCAGCAAGUAAUGAAUUUUAAUGCUGAUACUGUUGUUACUGUGUUUUCUCAACUUCUUUACAUAGUACUGAUAUUUAAGAAUCACAGAAUGGUUUGGGAUAGAAGGGACCUCCUCAUCUAGUUCAGCCCCCUGCUGCAGAAGGGUCCCCUAGAGCAGGCUGCCAAGGACCACACUCCAAACAACUUCUGAAUAGCUACAGGGAUGGAGAUUCCGUCACUUCUUUUUUAUUUUUCCAUUGGAUUUUCUAAAAUAAAAUCUCUCUCACUCCAAAAGAACUCCUUCUUGAACUGUUCUUGUUAAUUAAAGAGAAGCUUAUCUAAGAACAUUUUUAUGAUCUCUGCUUCUCACCAUCCUCCUCACAAUUGCAGUACAUCACACAAUCCAAACUGUUUUCUAACACCAAUGUUAUUCUCAAACCAAAGGAUAUUUUGUUUGCACUGGCUGACUUCUGACAACACUGAACACUGGACGUUUUAUCAUCUAAAAAGCCGAAUUCCUACUCUGAUAACAAAAGUAACAUCUGCUUUAAAAACAACAACAAAAAGCAAAAUUAAGAACACCCCAGAUAAUUUGACUAAAAUGUAUACUCUAAUCCAGUGCUUCCUAAUCCAAGUGGGCUCUGCAAUUGCAGAAUUCCUAUGAAUUUAAAAAUAGGAAAUCUAGAUGCUGGGAUCUCUGGUUCUUUCUGGCAAUGUUUUGUGCUGCUGCUUGCUCUAAUGUACGGCCUGUACAGAAGCAACCUACUGCCCUCUUGACAUUUAGUACACCAUCUUCUCUCAGAAUUCCAACUCAGAGCUUUGGCUGUAAAGAAAGCUUCUACUAACUUUUUUUUUUUCCUAGCAGAUCUCUGUUUCAUCUACCCAGGUACCUAGCAAUAGUCAAUUACAUAAAGAAAGGAGACAAGAUAGGAUCUCUUUUGCAUGUAUGCAAUUAUAUUAUGGUAGUAAGAAAGCAUAGGAGUGAGAUACUCAGUAGUGGAUGCUGUGAUUAUAUAAGCCACCCGCACAGCACCAGCUUAGUCCCGCUGUUCUUUCACUCCCCAACCUCUCUUUGGUGAGAUUCAGGGUAUGUUUUAUGUUUGACAAAGCAGGGACAGAGAGUGUGUCAAGAGGCAAGUUUGGGCUCCCUGAAUCUCAGUCCCCAAUACCCAACCCUAGAAAACAUUAAGGAAGAUAGAAAUCUGCUUUGACACUUGCCAGAUGUCAAAGCUUAGAACUAUACCACCUGAAAAGAAAUAGCAGAAAGACACAGCUCUAGUUAUAUUUUUCUCCAUCCCCAGUGAACAUGCUAUGCCAAGAUUAGUGUUUUCUGGGGACUGGAUAUACACUGAGCCUUCUCAGCUGGAAAGCCAUAAGUAUUUUCUGGUCGGCUUGUACUGUUUCAAAGCCACCCUGGAAGCAGAGCAUAGCCAGAUAGGCCCUUGUGUUCAUGUUUCAUUCCAAGUGCCUGGAAUAUACAUCCCUCCCCUCAACCCCAAGCUUAUGUAACUGGAUGGCUCACUUUGUUAGCAGCAUUGCAUUAUUUAUUAUCUUGAGAAAAUCAGCAUCACUAGGUCUAAAAUUCACUGGAAAAGAAUUAAGUGAGCCAACAAGUAAAGCUUUUCACACUUACAUAGAUAUUAUGCUCCUUUCCUAAUAUAUCUAAAUAUGCUGUGAUCCAAAUGUUCAGCAAAAUCUGGUGCCUGUUAGCUUCUGUUAAAAUCUUCAUGGAACAAUUAACUAAUAAACAAAAGGCUUAUAUAUAAUGAACAACAUAUUUGGCUGGAGAGUGAAAAAGAUUAUAAACAGCUUUUGUACCCUGUCCUCUAAAGUCUGAAAACAGACUGUCAGCCCCAAACACUCCAGUUACGAGAACACAUUGGAAAGGAGAUGGAGAAAGGUAGGCUCAAAACAAAUCAAGAUCAUAAGGCAAAAUACAGAGUUACAAAAAUGAUGUUGGAGUCUUGUUUCCUAACAUGUGUUAAGAUUUCUAUCAUUGCUGAUGUUAAUAAUUGACAUGAAAUACAGAGAGAGUUAGAUAACAGCAGGAACGCUCAGGCCAGGAACCCAUUUCAUUUUCUAGUGGUGUGAGGCACAGGGUAAGGGGGAAAUACACAGUGUCAUGACAGAGAUGCUCUUGCUUCACCGUGUUACUCUCAAGGUAUUUUGUAUUGUCUAGAAAGAGGAUUCUGGUUGUGGCAGGGAACAGGAAAAAGAACAAGAUGUGAAUUUAGUGUUUGUGGAAGUGAGAAUUAAUAGCAAAACCUUGAGCUGGGUAUAAGCUCUGCAGGUAUUGUGCAAGCCUCUUCACACAGCACUGCCAUCUCACCCCAAUUUAUGACCUGGAACAUAGAAAAUUUUACUGCUUUUAGCUGGGACUGCAAGUUGUACCAAAGCAUACAAUGAUUUCAUAAAUCCAAGGGAAAGAGGUGAAAGCUCCAAGUUUCUUUAGGUCUUUUGCCUAGCUCAGGUGCAGCCUGGAGAAAAUGUGAUGGCACACUGAAGCAUCUGAGCCUGCAGAUCACAGUGCCAACAUUUGAAUGCAGGGGUUAAAUACAGUGAUUCAGUAUUCCCUAACUCAGAGUGCAUGAGCAAGCCAGGAUUUGUAGCACAAGCAAAUACAGGUAAACGAGUAGGAAUGGCUUCAGAAUGGCUGCAGUUUACACUUUCAGAAAGUUCUACAAGCAAAAAUCAAAUGGGAAGAAUAAUCAGAGGAGCAUCCGUCAGAUCUUCCUCCCCCUGCCCCUCCACACUGAAAAAAAAAAGGAUGCAAGAAAGCAUAAUUCUGAAGAGCACUGCUGAAUACAAUCCAGAUCUGACUUCAAGCAAAUCUCUUAGCUAUUAGUGGUUCCAUGAAUCUUUUUCUGAAAGAAGAACGCAGCUGAAUUUGAUGCCAGGGCUGCAGACACAGAAACAGAGAGCAAUGCAAAAUCCUGUAAAAACACGGAAAAGAUUUCCCUCCCAUAACAUCCAGAAGGUAUCACUUUGCAAUCUUUAUUAGGCAGUCCCUGCUCCUGAGCUCACCACAGAAGCAGUGCCCAAGACGUUCCUUCCCUACCACGGCUCCUAUUUCCAUUAGUCAUAGUGCCAUCACUCACACUGGGUGCCAACAGCACUUCGUCUUCUCUGCAAAGCUUAACUGUGUGUUACCGGAUUUACUCAAUUCUGACCAAUAAGCAGUAUCUCAAUUAUCCUGUAUUUUGUUACAUACCAUAAACAUUCCAUUAAAAAUAGCCCAAAUUCUUUGUUAUUAUUUAGCGAUGAAGGCCCAGGUUUCGUUGCCAGGCACAGGCUAAAUGGCACAGUCGAUAGGACCCUUCAGAACAUUUCCCGAAAAAACAUGCUAUUUACAGACAUUAAAAGUUAAACCAAACAUUCUUAGCAAACCAUUCAUUUAUUUUCUAUUGUCUGUUUUAUCCCAUUUCCUUAUUAUCAAGCCUUUGUCUCCUGUGCAAGUCUAUCUUGCCAUACCAAAGAGGAAGCACUGUUGAGAAUGCCCAUCUCCACACAGAUAAGGAAGCAGAUUUACAUCCAAGGAACAAUUAACACACAUGAAAAGUCACCAUGUUUUGAAUAGGGCAGAAUAGCCAGUAACUUUGAAGUGUGAGGUCUGGUAGAUUGAAGCUAAUGUUUAAAAUGGAGAAAGCAUCUUGUAUCACCAUCCUAUCCACUCAUAUACUACUGAUAAUUGUGCUUAGAUUUAGAGAAAAUCCUUUUUCACUGGCUUUCAAAUAGCCACUGAAUAAGUGACAUCAGUAGUACAAUAUGGAUUUCAUAAUAACACACUGACAGUAAAAAAAAGGCUGUCAAGCACAUUCCUGAAAGUGCAUUGCUAUUUUCCUAACUUGACUGCUGCACUGUCUCUUAUAUUCCUUCCCUUCUAAAAGUCUUAGACCUGAAAGCUCAAAAUGCUGCUUAUUCGCUGGUUUUCAUGUAACGACUAUACUGAUGAGUCAGAAACAUUGUUACUAACAUCUCAUUUAGUUUCACCUGCUGAAAAUGGAAAACAGCCAAAAUAAAAAAGCAAUUGGAAGAAUAUUGAUGAGCAAUAAACUUCUCUUAUUUCACUACAAAAUUCUUGAAAUUCCAUCCUUCCGAUUGCUCACAAACCCAGAUGAGUACACACACACAAUGACACACAAGUUCAGCCUCUGUUUACAUGCUUGCAGAUGAGUUCAGUACUACAUGAUCUUUAUCAGUGUUACUACAAAAUGCCUUUACAGACAUGUCUAUGACACUUCAUAGAAUCACGGAAUCAUAGAAUCACUCAGGUUGGAAAAGACCUCAAAGAUCAUCGAGUCCAACCACAACCUAAACAUAGUACCCUAACUAACAACCCUCUGCUAAAUCAUGUCCCCGAACACCACAUCCAAACAGUUUUUAAACACAUCCAGGGAUGGUGACUCAACCACUGCCCUGGGGAGCCCAUUCCAGUGCUUAACAACCCUUUCUGUAAAGAAGUUCUUCCUGAUGUCCAACCUAAACUUCCCCUGGCGCAACUUGAGGCCAUUUCCCCUCAUUCUGUCACCUGUCAGCAGUGAGAAGAGACCAACCCCACUCUCACUGUAAGCACCUUUUGGGUAUUUGAAGAGAGCAAUAAGGUCUCCCCUCAGCCUCCUUUUCCCCAGACUACACAGCCCCAGUUUUCUCAGCCUCUCCUCAUAGGGCAUAGUCUUCAAGCGCUUCACCCCUUCACAAGCCUUGUUGCCCUUCUUUGGACCUGCUCCAACACCUCAAUGUCCUUUGCCCAAAACUGAACACAGUACUCGAGGUGAGGCCUCACCAGUGCCGAGUACAGGGGCAGGAUUACUUCCCUACUCCUGCUCACCACACCACUCCUGAUACAAGCCAGGAUGCCACUGGCCUUCCUGGCCACCUGAGCACACUGUUGGCUCACAUUCAGCUGACUGUCCAUCAGUACACCGAGGUCCCUUUCCAUCAAGCAGCUUUCCAGCUACUCAUUCCCAAGCAUGUAGGGUAGCCUGGGGUUGUUGAGUCCAAAAUGGAGGACCCGACAAUUGGCCCUAUUGAAACUCACACAGUCUGUCUUCACCCAUCGAUGCAGUCUACCCAGGUCCCUUUGUUGUGCCCUUCUCCCCUCAGGAAGAUCAACACUCCCUCCCAGCUUGGUGUCGUCCACAAACUUCAGAAGCAGUUGAAAUGGAUUUGGGGUUGCCAGCAGGUUUAUCUUUUUUACCACCAAAUAACAGAGCAGACAGUAUACCCUUGGUAUUUUUCACAGUCUGACAUUUUUUUCAAAAGUACCAAUUUGUAAAGCGAAGAUAUAAACCAGAUUCAUCUGACUUUUUCAUCCCUCUAAAACAACUGCACUCUUUCCUUGGGGUAUACCUGAAAGCUUGAAAUUGAAAUAACGCAUAUCUCACAGGGAAACACAAAUUGUAUGAUAAAAUACACCCAAAAUAUCUCUGGGUAUCCUCACUUUAAUAUAAUUCUUGUACAUAGAAAAUGAAAAUCUUUCACCUUCCCUCACCUGUCUUCAAUAAUAAAUGCUGCGCACACAUCAAUAUCAGUAUAUCAUGUAUUGCUUCAGGUACACCACUCAGAUGAAUACAUAUUUCUCACUCUAAGUAGAGAACUGACUUCAGAGAAAACAAAAAAUCCAGCUCUUACACUCUGCAGUUUAGGGGACAUUGUUAGUAAGUGGAGGUUGGACAGAAGCAGGGCCUGACGGGAUUCCACACAGGCACAGUGCAAACCGGGCCCUGGUGACUCCGCAUGCCCAGCUCCAGGCAGACCUGGCUGCUGCACGUUGACCAGCUCUGCGCUGAGCGAGCAGCCAGAUGUGUGUCAGCCCCACUUCUGGCUCCCACUUCCUGUGUUUCAAAAAAGUUUCAUUCAUCUCUAAUGAGUAGAGACUGAAACUGACAAAAUAUUUCACAUUUCCAAUGCCUCAUAAAACUUCAAACUUCUUACAAACUGCUUUCAAUUUCACUCAGUAUUUUCCUGUAUUUUUAUCAUUCUACAUCAAACACUAUGAUUCAUCCUCCACUUCAAUGACAAAUAGAAGCUUAAGGGGAAGAUAACAUCUUUUCCUGUGAAAGUAUCUGUUAUUUCCUGUCCUGAAUAACAAGGUUUCUAAAGAUUAAAUGAACUUUUGGAAAAAGCACAGCAAGUUCAUAAAAAGCCCUUAAUCUGAAUGCUAUAGGAAGCCAAAUUACAAAGUUUUUUUUCCACAUUUCAGACAUACUGAAUUAGAUACAAACAAUAUCAUUCAUAAUGCGCCUAUUUUCACAUCGGAGAAAAUGACAGAUACUAAAGGCAAAUGUCCCAACUCAGACAAAUCAAAAUACCAAAUACUGUACCAUUUAAUGAGCCAAUUGGUUUCAGAGGUGUGGGACAACCUGUAGCUUGUUCUGCCUACCAAGAUGCAGGUUUCUUCUGUCUAAAACCGAUGCUGUUCAUUAUGCUGUAAACAAGAGAAAGAAGAGCCUGAAGAGGUCAGUAGGAGAAGCAAGCAUUAUCAAGGCUGAUGGGAAAGUUAAAAGAAUUUUCUCCCACCAUCUUGUUUAAGAUCUAACUGUUCUAAUAACAGGACUGAAAUCAAGUUUAGUCAUUUUGUUCUUGACAUGAAACCCUACGAUUUCAUCUUUAUAAAGAUGCUUCAAACAGAAAAGAAAGUAGCUGCCAAAAGACAAUUCUGAAAGAUCCCCAUGAGGGGGAAAAAGCCCACCUGUCCAAUCUCUUGGCAUUUAUUAUCAAAACUCCUGACAAGAAAUGAACUAAUUGUUCCAUUAUAUUGCAUAAGUUUCUAAUACAAAUCCAUAAAUAUUAAUUCACGUAAGAAACUUCUUGGCAGCUAUUUUGAGUUAAGGACAACUGAUUUAUUUCCAGAUCAACGGCACAGUUUUCUAGGUAACCAUAUUUAAAAAUCAUAACUUUCCUCAAAAGUGCUCCUAAAUGUUAUCAUUGUGAGUAGAUCACCUAUCAAGUUAAGAAAGAUAGGAAAAGGUAGAUUUAUUCAGAACAACCUAGAAAGAAAUAUGGAAAGAUUUUAUUCAAAGUUCUUAAUUAUCUUGCAACAACACUGGUUGUUAGAAUACAGAGACAAAAGUACUCCUGCAGGCAGCACUAGAUGGUUUUUGCUUCCCAAAAUUUAGUACAUCUACAGAAACGUAAGUGUAAGUGAUCACAGAACGUAUGGGUCUCAACUAUGAUUAAUCUACAGCAGCAAUUACAAGGAAGUUCACAUUGCUUAUUAUUUUUGACCCUGUUUCUCUUUUUUCUGCUCUUCUUAGAAAUGUCAUUUUAAAAUUACAUCUCUGUGUGAAAGCACUGAACUUGUACUGUGUUCUCCUAUCUUUAUUCUUUCCCACAGUGCACCAGUUUUUAUUUCUGAUGAGUACUUAAAUCAUGUUUCUGUUUGCUCUAUCAACCACUUUCUCUGGCUGUAAGCACAGUGAAACCUCUGAUCCUCACAGGGAGUAACCAUUGAACCUGUCAGGGUUAAUGGUAUUAUGGGUUGCAGGUUUUACUCCACACUCUCCAAAAGGCAGGAGGAGAGUCCUGUAGCCUGACCUCCAUAGCUGUGCUGCUUGCCAGAGAGGGUAGGAGGAGGAAUGGCUAAGGGAGCCAGGCACGCUUCUUUGUUUUCAGUAAACAUUGCCUGGAAAAUGGGCCUGCAUUAUAGCACAGAUUACAGACCAAGAUAGAUAGCGGUUGGCUGUGCUAGAGAAGCUCUCUGAGAGGAAUGACAGAGUUGGCCUCAGGAGGAACGUGCCAGAGAAUCAAGCAGCAGUUGGUGCACACCGGUCUUGGUGUGGUAGCUGAAGGGUGUAGCAAGAAUAGACAAAUUAAUUACAUCCUCUGCUACCACUCCAACUGUGCUUAUUGCUUUUCUGCACAGCUGAGAAUGCAUCAAAGGCUCAGUCUUUGUAUUGUCAGCUACCCCCUAAAAAUGAUUUUCGAGGGCAUAUACGCUAUUGUAACUGCAUCUCAUUAACCAAGGCACUGUUUGUGGUGCCUUUGAAAGCAGUUUCCAGCUGUUUGGUAUUCCAUGGUAGUGUGGCUGCACUGUUGGAACAAGCUAGUUCAAAGACAGAUGGAGAAGUCUGCACUAAUUUCAGCACAUAAUACUUCCUUUCUCCAGAUGGAAACAGCCUGACCCAAACCAAUUUGGAUUCAAAGAGCAGUGUGAAAUGCAUUCCUAGGGAAGCCACUGAAAUGGUAGAGCAGGUUUGAAACUCUUUUACUGAGGAGAUGACCCAGUCUAAAUGGAGGCAGAGGGAUGGCGACACUGCAGGUGCAGGACAUGUCCUGUAUGGUAUGUCCUUUUGGGGGAGUACGGUCUGAGUGCCUGGAUCAAUUUUUGUCCCAAACCUACAUUUCCCUUGUGGAAGGAAGGCAGGAAGGAAGGAAGGAAGGAAGGCAGGAAGGCAGGAAGGCAGGAAGGCAGGAAGGCAGGAAGGCAGGAAGGCAGGAAGGCAGGCAGGAAGGCAGGCAGGCAGGAAGGCAGGAAGGCAGGAAGGCAGGAAGGCAGGAAGGCAGGAAGGCAGGAAGGCAGGAAGGCAGGAAGGCAGGAAGGCAGGAAGGCAGGAAGGCAGGAAGGAAGGCAGGAAGGAAGGCAGGAAGGAAGGCAGGAAGGAAGGCAGGAAGGAAGGCAGGAAGGCAGGAAGGCAGGAAGGCAGGAAGGCAGGAAGGCAGGAAGGCAGGAAGGCAGGAAGGCAGGAAGGCAGGAAGGCAGGAAGGCAGGAAGGCAGGCAGGCAGGCAGGCAGGCAGGCAGGCAGGAAGGCAGGAAGGCAGGAAGGCAGGCAGGCAGGCAGGCAGGCAGGCAGGCAGGAAGGCAGGCAGGCAGGAAGGCAGGCAGG
ensembl:lncRNA